AUUGCCCCUAGAGGCAUUUCAGGUGUGGCUUCUGUGUUCCAUGUGUGUCAGUAGGUGGCACAGAGGAGAGAGGAUGUUUAUGCCUAUGCUCAGUGUUCUGAGCUAUGAACAUCUGAAUGACUAGUAAUCUAAAAUU